rnacentral:rRNA from 1 species
GACGAACGCUGGCGGCGUGCCUAAUACAUGCAAGUCGAACGCAGUGGGGACGGGUGAGUAACACGUGGGUAACCUCCCAUCAGCGGGGAUAACACUUGGAAACAGGUGCUAAACCGAUACAGAUGGAUGGGCCCGCGGUGGAUUAGCUAGGUGGUGAGGUAACGGCUCACCCAGGCCACGAGGCAUAGCCGACCUGAGAGGGUGAUCGGCCACACUGGGACGGAGACACGGCCCAGACUCCUACGGGAGGCAGCAGUGGGGAAGAUUGCACAAUGGGCGCAAGCCUGAUGCAGCCAUGCCGCGGGUGUGAAGAAGGCCUUCGGGUUGUAAAGCACUUUCAGCGGGGAGGCGUUACCCGCAGAAGAAGCACCGGCUAACUACGUGCCAGCCGCCGCGGUAAUUC